CACUGGUCGAGUGAUCCUGCGCCGAAGAUUUCCGGGGCUAAAACUUACUACCGAAGCUACGGCAUCAGUAAUGAUGGGUAGGGGAGCUUCCCAUACGGGUUGAAGCAUGACCGUAAGGACAUGUGGACAGUAUGGGAGUGAGAAUGUUGGCAUGGGUAGCGAGAUGUGGGUGAGAAUCCCACAGGCCGUAAACCCAAGGUUUCCAGGGGAAGGUUCGUCCGCCCUGGGUUAGUCGGGACCUAAGCUGAGGCCGAAAGGCGUAGGUGAUGGACAACAGGUUGAUAUUCCUGUACUACCGAUAACCGUUUG
rnacentral:rRNA from 1 species